GCUGCUUUAGUUCAGUGGCUAGAACGCCUGCUUUACAAUCUCCCCUGUAUUACGCAGUAGGUCACAGGUUCGAUCCCUGUAAGCAGCA